AAUGAACGUUGGCGGCGUGGAUUAGGCAUGCAAGUCGAGCGAGAAGAGUUCUGAAGUUUGCUUUAGAACUCGGAAAGCGGCGAAAGGGAGAGUAACGCGUAGUUAUGCACCCAGGGGUUCGGAAUAGCCACGGGAAACUGUGGGUAAUGCCGAAUAACAUCUCCGGAUCAAAGGUGUGAUUCCGCCCUUGGAGCAGACUGCGUCCUACUAGCUAGUUGGCGGGGUAAUGGCCCACCAAGGCAACAAUGGGUAGCGGGUGUGAGAGCAUGACCCGUCUCACUGGGACUGAGACACUGCCCAGACACCUACGGGUGGCUGCAGUCGAGAAUCUUCGGCAAUGGGCGAAAUCCUGACCGAGCGACGCCGCGUGCGGGAUGAAGGCCCUCGGGUUGUAAACCGCUGUCGUAGGGGAGGAAGGCUCCGUGAAGAACGGGGUUUGACCUAUCCUAGGAGGAAGUACGGGCUAAGUUCGUGCCAGCAGCCGCCGUAACAC
rnacentral:rRNA from 1 species